UACGGGGGGGGCAAGCGUUGUUCGGAAUUACUGGGCGUAAAGGGCUCGUAGGCGGUCAACUAAGUCGGAUGUGAAAUCCCCAGGCUUAACCUGGGAACUGCAUCCGAUACUGGAUGGCUUGAAUCCGGGAGAGGGAUGCAGAAUUCCAGGUGUAGCGGUGAAAUGCGUAGAUAUCUGGAGGAAUACCGGUGGCGGAAGGCGGCAUCCUGGACCGGCAUUGACGCUGAGUGAGCGAAAGCCAGGGGAGCAAACGGGG
rnacentral:rRNA from 1 species